AUUGAACGCUGGCGGCAGGCCUAACACAUGCAAGUCGAGCGGAUGAAGGGAGCUUGCUCCUGGAUUCAGCGGCGGACGGGUGAGUAAUGCCUAGGAAUCUGCCUGGUAGUGGGGGAUAACGUCCGGAAACGGGCGCUAAUACCGCAUACGUCCUGAGGGAGAAAGUGGGGGAUCUUCGGACCUCACGCUAUCAGAUGAUCCUAGGUCGGAUUAGCUAGUUGGUGGGGUAAAGGCCUACCAAGGCGACGAUCCGUAACUGGUCUGAGAGGAUGAUCAGUCACACUGGAACUGAGACACGGUCCAGACUGCUACGGGAGGCCGCAGUGGGGAAUAUUGGACAAUGGGCGAAAGCCUGAUCCAGCCAUGGCGCGUGUGUGAAGAAGGUCUUCGGAUUGGAAAGCACUUUAAGUUGGGAGGAAGGGCAGUAAGUUAAUACCUUGCUGUUUUGACGUUACCAACAGAAUAAGCACCGGCUAACUUCGUG
rnacentral:rRNA from 1 species